GGUUUUUACAGCGAACGUGUGCGGUUCAGAGAUCGGUUUCCGAUUCGGAUUCGGUUUCGCUCUCGAUUUUGUUGCAUAUUAACACACGGAGCCCAGCCACAUCCAUCCAUCCCAGAUAUAUUGAUUAUCCAUCACAUCACACAAACCAAAAAAAAAGCCCCCCCAUAAACGAACGCCCACGAAACGAAACAAAACGAGUUGAGGCGAGGAGAGGUGCGCAGAACGGUGGUGAGAAAAAGAAAAGUAAAGUCCAACGAAAGUGAAAAAAUCAAUCGAAUCGAAUCGAAUCGAAGGAAAAUCUCCGCUCAGCUGUAAACUAAAUCAAAAGCCCCAAAACUAACCAACAUAUCUUUCAAACAAACAAAACAACCCGAGGCCCACAAAAAACUAAAACAACAAAGUCAAAAAUCGAAAAAGGUUCAACAACAAUUAAUUCAGAGUGCUGUUGGGCUGCAUCUUCGGGCUGUUCGUGUUGCAUUUUAUUGCCUCGAAACAAUAUUUACAAGUCUUCUUUAUGGCCACUGAGUGAAAUGCAAAUCAAUUAAACAACAACAAAAAAAGUGGAGAAACAAAAGCAUACAGCAAUUAAAGAAAGCAACAAAAAAAGAAAGAAAAUAUUCGUUACAAUUUGAUUGAACUCGAUUUAUUGACCAUGAAAACGGUGGAAAGUCUAAAUUAUAUUUAAUUACAAAAACAAA